rnacentral:misc_RNA from 1 species
UCGAAUCCUUAGGAUGUUGCUGGCCUCUAGGGGCACUGUGCACUCCGCCUUUUCAUCUCACCUGUGCACUUAUUGUAGGCCGGACUUGUCAUGAGUCUGUGUCUAUGUUUUUAACACACACCUUUAUAAAAAGUCUAUUGAAUGUCUUUGUUAAGUAGACCUUUACCGGUCGAAAAAUUAAAAUA